UUAACCCCUCACAACACCAACACAACAAUCAAAGGAGAUACAACUGCAACAACAAACUUCUACUUACGGGAAUACCUCACCUGGAAUAUUGCUGAGUGCGGCGUUAAACAACAAACAAAACAUAACCAAAUUGGAUCCUUGUCGACAGAUCGACAUCAAGUUCUGUAGUGAAUUCUGUUCAUCGUUGAAGUCAUGACACGGGCAGCGACAAUCACAGGGUGGCUCUUCACGAUAGGACUUAUUUCAGUCGGAUUGUUAUCAAGUCGAUGACACACCCAGCUAGGUCGCCAGGUUUUAUAACCAGUCCGGCGAGUCACUG